CCUACGGGUGGCUGCAGCGACGAAUCUUCCGCAAUGGGCGAAAGCCUGACGGAGCAAUGCCGCGUGUGGGAUGAAGCGGCUACGCCGUGUAAACCACUGUCAGGGGGCAGAAACACUGAUCGCCCCCAGAGGAAGAGACGGCUAACUCUGUGCCAGCAGCCGCGGUAAGACAGAGGUCUCGAGCGUUAAUCGGAUUCAUUGGGCUUAAAGCGUGCGUAGGCGGGCCGCUAAGCACUUCGUGAAAGCCCCCGGCUCAACCGGGGAACUGCGGGGUGGACUGGCGGCCUUGAGGCAGGUAUGGGCGGACAGAACUGUCGGUGGAGCGGUGAAAUGCGUAGAGAUCGACAGGAAUGCCUAUGGUGAAGACGGUCCGCUGGGCCUGUCCUGACGCUCAGGCACGAAAGCGUGGGGAGCAAACAGGAUUAGAUACCCUAGUAGUC
rnacentral:rRNA from 1 species